GAUGAACGCUGGCGGCGUGCCUAAUACAUGCAAGUCGAGCGGUAACACUUCGGGUGACGAGCGGCGGACGGCUGAGUAACGCGUAGGAACGUACCCCAAACUGAGGGAUAAGCACCAGAAAUGGUGUCUAAUACCGCAUAUGGUCUUCGGAUUAAAGCUUCGGCGGUUUGGGAACGGCCUGCGUAUGAUCAGCUUGUUGGUGAGGUAAAAGCUCACCAAGGCGACGAUCAUUAGCUGGUCUGAGAGGAUGAUCAGCCAGACUGGGACUGAGACACGGCCCAGACUCCUACGGGAGGCAGCAGUAGGGAAUCUUCCACAAUGGGCGAAAGCCUGAUGGAGCAACGCCGCGUGCAGGAUGAAAGCCUUCGGGUCGUAAACUGCUUUUAUAUGCGAAGACUUCGACGGUAGCAUAUGAAUAAGGAUCGGCUAACUCCGUGCCAGCAGCCGCGGUCAUACGGAGGAUCCAAGCGUUAUCCGGAAUUACG
rnacentral:rRNA from 1 species